rnacentral:tRNA from 1 species
GGGCGAUUAGCUCAGGGGGAGAGCGCUUCCCUGACACGGAAGAGGUCACAGGUUCAAAUCCUGUAUCGCCCA